rnacentral:tRNA from 1 species
AUUUAAAUAGCUUAUAUAUUAGAGUAUAACAUUGAAGCUGUUAAGGAGAUAAUUUAUCUUUAAAUA